GACGAACGCUGGCGGCGUGCCUAAUACAUGCAAGUUGAGCGAUGAAGAUUGGUGCUUGCACCAAUUUGAAGAGCAGCGAACGGGUGAGUAACGCGUGGGGAAUCUGCCUUUGAGCGGGGGACAACAUUUGGAAACGAAUGCUAAUACCGCAUAACAACUUUAAACAUAAGUUUUAAGUUUGAAAGAUGCAAUUGCAUCACUCAAAGAUGAUCCCGCGUUGUAUUAGCUAGUUGGUGAGGUAAAGGCUAACCAAGGCGAUGAUACAUAGCCGACCUGAGAGGGUGAUCGGCCACAUUGGGACUGAGACACGGCCCAAACUCCUACGGGAGGCAGCAGUAGGGAAUCUUCGGCAAUGGACGAAAGUCUGACCGAGCAACGCCGCGUGAGUGAAGAAGGUUUUCGGAUCGUAAAACUCUGUUGGUAGAGAAGAACGUUGGUGAGAGUGGAAAGCUCAUCAAGUGACGGUAACUACCCAGAAAGGGACGGCUAACUACGUG
rnacentral:rRNA from 1 species